rnacentral:rRNA from 1 species
UAUGUGAUCGUCUCUCGCAUAUCAAUAAGCGGAGGAAAAGAAACUAACAAGGAUUCCCCUAGUAACGGCGAGUGAAGCGGGAAGAGCUCAAAUUUGAAAUCUUAAAGGGUUUCCCUUUACGAAUUGUAGUUUAAAGAAGUGUUUUCUGUUGAGGUUUUGGUAAAAGUUCUUUGGAAUAGGACAUCAUAGAAGGUGAGAAUCCCGUAUUUGACCUUUACUUUCAACUUUGUGAUACACUUUCAAAGAGUCGGAUUGUUUGGGAAUGCAGUCCAAAAUGGGUGGUAAAUUUCAUCUAAAGCUAAAUAUUGGCGAGAGACCGAUAGCGAACAAGUACUGUGAGGGAAAGAUGAAAAGAACUUUGAAAAGAGAGUUAAACAGUACGUGAAAUUGUCAAAAGGGAAGCGUUUGACACUAGUGUUGUUUUUCUGAAAAUCAAUUAAAGAACUGUUUAUGCUAAGCUGUUUAGACUUUAUCAGCUAUCUGUUUAGUUUUGAGCUUUUCUUUAAUGCACUUUUCAGUUAACAAGUCAACAUCAAUUUCUUUUGCUGUAAAAAAGCUUGAGGAAGGUGGCUUGAGAUUCGUCUUAAGUGUUUAUAGCCUCUUGCCUAUGCAGUCGGAGAGAUUGAGGUCUGCAGCGUAGAUCCUUCGGGGCUAAAUGCAUUUGUGCUAAGUUAUAGCAUUUUAUAGACAACUUGUUGACUAUGAUUUGUCUUGUAGCUUACUCGCUUAUGUUAUUUUACCUACGCUUAGGAUGUUGACACACGCGCGUGCUCG